rnacentral:snoRNA from 1 species
GGUCAGUGAUGAAUAGUAAAAGGUCUGAUUACCCCGAGAUGACCCGCCCACCCUCCCAGUUCCCAGCUGCCUCUUUGCUGUCAGGCUCUAGUGGUGCCAUGACUGAGUGGAGACCUGCUGACAUCACCGGACGCCCCGUGUGCGUGUGUGUGUUUGCUAGAAUUUCAGUGAAUGCACUACUGUGGUUGGCGUCCAACAGUGGGCGUCAGCAAGGAAUAAGGGCUGGUGGGAGCACAUCUCCUGUGGGUCUGAUCUGAAAUUUGCAAACUGAGGCC